CCGCCCUUCCGUUCCCUCUCCGAUGGCCCCUCCGAUGCGCAGCAGGUCCUCUGGUUGAACUUGUCCAUAGCAUCAUCCAUCCUACCCUACCCUUCAACGGCGGUUGCCGACGCCCCACGGCGGGUAGGAUGGCUGGUGCUAUGGGUAGCUUCACCCCGAUGGUUGUGAGUGACGUACCUCGUCCGUAGGAAUAAGCCUCUUUUAUCGUCGCCGCUGCGGAAAUCAAGGCGCGCAGAAGUAGGGAGCCAAUCCUCUGGUUGAAUUUGUCCAUAGCAUCAGCCAGUCCUCUGCUUUUUUUGCACGAUGGGUACUACGAUGGCUGGUGCUAUGGAUAAAUUCAACCCGAUGGUUGUGACAUACCCGAUCUGAAGAGGAAACUUUGCUCAACUUUGAAUGAGCCCGCAAUCAGGUUGAAGCAGGGACGGAUGGUUGUUGCCAUGGACGAAUUCCACCGGAUGACACAUAUUCGACUACCACUUUAAACAGUUUCCUUUAGUUGCCUGAUGAUUCAUGGUUGUUGUAUUCAUGCUGACUCUGGUUUUAAUCUGCCUUACUUUAACUGAAUAUUCUAUUAUCUGGAAAAAGAUAGUGAAAAUCUAGAUCUAAUUAACCCUGCCUUGUUUUUGCAGUUCUGAGAUGCAUGCAUGUUUCUAAGGACCAAGAUCUGGAAAUUGCUAAGGAAUGAGUAAUCUAACUGUUUUCAUGCGAUUCAAGACCUCGCUGGUGUUUGUUUAAGUUAUACAGUUUCCUACAUAUAUUGGUUGUCUUCCAGGUUCAGUUUGCUGUGGCGAAUUCUGCUUGAAUUUGUUGCAGCAAACUUGUGGUCAUGUAUAUUUUCUUUAGUUUUGUAUUCAUGCCUAGAAGGUUAGAAAGCUUGUUCAUGUAUUGUUCUGAACUAAAAGUUGAAGUGGCUUUUCCACCCAUGUUAUUGUGGUGGUCAUAAUAGCGCGCCUCACAAUUAUUGAGGGCCAGAUCUACAAAUAUUGUUUCUAAAUACAAACGCCCACUCUGUUUCCCCUGGGUAUUAAUCUAUGCACAAAUUGCUCUUCCGUGCUUGAUGACAAAUAAAGGUUGCAUCUUGGAUGUUUGCUUGAUUUGCAUGAGCCAUUUUGCUAUCAGCUAAACCGUUAAAAGUCAGAUGUAAGAUAUGUUUCUUGGCACAUGUGGUAUUUUUCCGUCAGCGCACCAUUGAAGUCUGAAGAUGCACUGUUUUCUUUGAAACUGAAGCACCGUGGUUGAAUUUUAGUUUCAUUUGGACAAGUUACCCCAAGUAUCAUCAAUUCAUGAUGACUAGUUUGGUGUGGUGAAUUGGUCUUGGUCCUGAUUUAAGAGUUUUUUAAUGCUACUGUGUUGUAAGGGAGAAAUGUUAGGUAUCUAUAUGGCUAUUGUUUUAGCUCUUGUUUGCAAUAUACUUGCUCUGCACCGAAAUACUUGGUUGGGGGAAACUAGUACAAGUUCCCCCAUCUACAAGUAUUUUGGUACAGAGGGAGUAUGACAUGCUGAUUGUUUUUAUCUCUUGGUGCCUGAUGCAUAUGUUUGUUUACUCGGUUUGUACUCUGAAUGAUAUGUUUGGUUCUGCUGGUAUUUUGAGGAGGCAGGCUGUGGUUAUUCUCCUGGCCCUGAGAAGGGUGAAUCAGGCCAUCUAACCUGCUCACCACCGGAGCGCCUUCAGGAACAUCGAGUCAGGGUGCUUUGCUUUCUAUUUGAAUCUGUGCGGUAAUGAAGGCAAAAAAAGAAGUUUCUACUCGCUCUGUUCUUGCAACUAAAUCAGAGUAAAGCCAUACUUACUGAAGCAUUACGGUUAAUAUCAUCCUACUAGGAAUAUGAGUAAUAUUAUCUAUUUGGUACGUCAGCACCCUGGUUUUGGUUGAUGAUUGUAACCUGUAAAAUAAAUAUAGAAAAGCAUACUUGCUUAAAAAAUUAUGCUUGAGGCAGAUGUGCAGGUGUUAAAAUCAAUGCUUUUUGUGUGGAGGAUGUAGUUUAUGUAACCAUUGAUUAAUUUGUUUCCUGAUGGUGCUGUAGGUUAUGGAAUGAGUUUGAUGUGCUCAAUCUGUUCCGUAGUUGGUAUUUAUAUGUGUGUGUGUGUGUGUGUGUGUGUGUGCGCCCCUGUGUGUGUUUCAGCAGUUAAGCAGUAUUGUUUUGGCUAUCCUUUUCAUCAAUCAACUCAAGUGAUUGAUUUUUGUUUCCAGGUCAGAAGAUUUUGUGCCUCGGAAAAGGUAGAAUGUCUAUUCCAUGUGGAAAAGAAAAACUGCGAACAAAAGCCAAAGGAACUUGUUACACGACCAAGCAUCCCACCCAUGCAGGGAUGUUUUUCCCAUUAGCCUCGAGCGGAUCGACCAUGAAUUCGACCAGAUCAUGUGUAUGAAUACAGAUGGAUCCGCAGCUUUAGCUACGAUGUGUAUGUUUUGACUGCAUUUCUGAAAUGGUUGAUUUCCUUGAGCAGGGGAAGUCUCUCACUGCUGCUGGAGAUUGGGAUGCGACGCGUCCUCCGACAUGUCUCUAGGAUCCGAGCCUGCUUGCUGCUCUUUGAUCUUCAACCGUUCCGUCUUCCAUCUUCGAUAGCUUAGUUUUCUGUUGUCCUGGGCCAUGAUGUUGCGCCCCAAUGCCGUAUUGCUGUAAUGGAUCAUUCUUACUGAAUUGUUUGGAGUUCCGUUUCAAUGUGUAUGGCGGCUAUGCCAUUUAUUCGGCUUUAUUUAUAAAUAAAGGUGGGCUUCGGCCUUUUUCUCUA